rnacentral:rRNA from 1 species
ACGGGAGGCAGCAGUGGGGAAUAUUGCACAAUGGGCGAAAGCCUGAUGCAGCGACGCCGCGUGAACGAAGAAGUAUUUCGGUAUGUAAAGUUCUAUCAGCAGGGAAGAUAAUGACGGUACCUGACUAAGAAGCACCGGCUAAAUACGUGCCAGCAGCCGCGGUAAUACGUAUGGUGCAAGCGUUAUCCGGAUUUACUGGGUGUAAAGGGAGCGCAGGCGGCCAUGCAAGUCAGAAGUGAAAGCCCGGGGCUCAACCCCGGGACUGCUUUUGAAACUGUAAGGCUAGAUUGCCGGAGAGGUAAGCGGAAUUCCUAGUGUAGCGGUGAAAUGCGUAGAUAUUAGGAGGAACACCAGUGGCGAAGGCGGCUUACUGGACGGUAAAUGACGCUCAGGCUCGAAAGCGUGGGGAGCAAACAGGAUUAGAUACCCUGGUA